rnacentral:rRNA from 1 species
GGGUCCGGACACACUGAGGAUUGACAGGCAAUUAUUGUGCUUUGUAACUUUUUUUUAAGUUGCUUACACAACAACAAAUUAUGCUAGUCCUUUCAUGAUUAUGUGAUAGGUGGUGCAUGGCCGUUCUUAGUUAGUGGAGUGAUCUGUCUGCUUAAUUGCGUUUCAUCAGGGACCAUGUUUAUUUAUGUACUUUCUUACUCGCUUUUUAAGCACUUUUUGUGUUUUUUAAGCUUGUACUUUAGUGCAAUUGGUCCUGAAAGCAACGAACGUGACCGCAUCCUCUUGUUGCCUUUUUAACUUGAGUUGUUUACACUUCUCAUAACAUAAGAGGCUCUCCUAAAACUAGAGGGACCGCUGCGACUUUUUUAAACCAGAGGAAGGUUGCGGCAAUAACGGGUCUGUGAUGCCCUUAGAUGUUCCGGGCUGCACACGUGCUACAAUGAUUAUUGCAGUGAGCAUCUCAUUUUAUUUUUUGUGCUUGUCUUGUCUGACUCUUUUACGAGGGAAAGACGACAGCCUUAGCCUGCUUCGAAAGUUCGCAGGU